UUUUGUAUUGUGCACUAAAAUGAAAUACAAACAACAAUUUCAGCAUGACAUGCCUGUUUUGCAGCGAUGGUGGUGCCUGUUGCUCCUGGAGAACAAUUCUUUGAACAGGUAGACAGUUUAAGUAAACUAGAUGCCCUAAUUAACUGGAAGACAAUCAAUAUAUUGUACUUAAAGAUAUAUUGUCAUUACAGUUGUGGGAAAAUCUUCGCCCACUGGACCAAAGAAUGUCAAGAGCUCAUUGCUGGAAAGCAUACUCCGGUCUUCAGUCUAAAGAGGAAGGCAGAGCAGCAGGACAUAGAGGUUAGAAAAUUGCCUUCUAAAAACAGUAUUAUCUCAGUGGGAGUCCUUCAAAAUGCACACAGUUGUAUGGAUCAACAUUGUCUCGAUGUAUUUGGUAAUUGAUGUUACUUUUCAAAUGGACUUGUCAAGGAAACCAUGACGCAGACGGCAUCGGAUGUCCAAAGAAUGUGCAUGGCAGAUUCAAUGCAAUUCUGUGUCUACCAGACAUCGAACAACACAGGAGAGAGG